rnacentral:rRNA from 2 species
UGGGAUGACGUCAAAUCAUCAUGCCCCUUAUGACCUGGGCUACACACGUGCUACAAUGGAUGGUACAACGAGUUGCGAGACCGCGAGGUCAAGCUAAUCUCUUAAAGCCAUUCUCAGUUCGGACUGUAGGCUGCAACUCGCCUACACGAAGUCGGAAUCGCUAGUAAUCGCGGAUCAGCACGCCGCGGUGAAUACGUUCCCGGGCCUUGUACACACCGCCCGUCACACCAUGAGAGUUUGUAACACCCGAAGCCGGUGGCGUAACCCUUUUAGGGAGCGAGCCGUCUAAGGUGGGACAAAUGAUUAGGGUGAAGUCGUAACAAGGUAGCCGUAGGAGAACCUGCGGCUGGAUCACCUCCUUUCU